UGUUUAUCAAAAACAUAGUCACUAGAAGAUAUUUGUGGUUAAACCUGCCCAAUGUGUUAUAUUAUUAAUGGCCGCGGUACCCUGACCGUGCUAAGGUAGCGUAAUAAGUUGGCUUUUAAAUGGAGUCAGGUAUGAAUGGAUUAACUGGGUUUAGCUGUCUCGUGGGUAAUAUUUUGAAUUUACUUUUCAAGUGAAAAAGCUUGAUUUUAAUAAAGGGACGAGAAGACCCUUAAAAUUUUAUUUAAUGUUAUAUUAUUAUUACUACAAUUUUGUUGGGGCGACAUUGAGAUAAUGAUAACUCUCAUUUUAACAUACAUGUCGGAUUUUUCAGGAUCGAAUAAAUUACUUAAGGGAUAACAGCAUAAUUCUAAAAAUGAGUUUGUGACCUCGAUGUUGGACUAGGAAGCUGAUAGGUUAGAUGCUUAUCGGGGGGAUUCUGUUCGAAUUUUAACUCCUACAUGAUCUGAGUUCAAACC
rnacentral:rRNA from 1 species